UGCGUGCUCAUGGGUGGGGGAGCUGCGAAAACAGCUCUGCUGCGUGCCUGGAAAUCGGCAUGGCCAGCUCAGGAAAGGAUGUCUUUGAGGUCUGAACUAUUUUCAGUAGUAACCGUUCACCACAUGUCUGCAAAGUAAUUGCAUAAGCUCCAUUUCCCCCUCGUAAAAGUGCUGUUAGGGUUUCCAGUGCUGCAGUAGCCAUUGGCGAUCCAGCUUCUAAAUAAGGGCUGCAGCGAUCCGCUGAGAGCCCACAGCAAGUGCUCCGAAUUCACCUCCUCUUCUGUAUUUGUUGGCUGAAUCUGCCGUGGCUCUCUGUUGAUUUUGACCCCCAGCUGUGUUCAGCUUCCUCCACGGUUGUGUGAUGUGUGCUAGCACAAAGCAGCGGGUUCCUUACGCAGUGCUGGGGAUUUGCUCGUGUGUGACACGCCGACAGGCACCGACUGGGUAGCAGAUGCACCAAAAGUUAGUGCAGCUCAUGCAGCAAGAGGAGAAACAGCCUUGUGCGUGCUUCUCUGCAACAAAAGGAGGGUGAGAAGGCUUUCAGAGCAGUGGCAGGGCCCAAAGGCGUCCCUGGUGUUCCUCCCUAGCACUGGAGCUCCUGCCUGUGCCCAGUGAGGACAGUGAGGGAUAGCUGCAUCCUGCGUGCAUCCAGAACGCUCCUAUUGAAGUGUCGUGCUAGAGCACUGCUGGUGUCUGGCCUGCUGCAGUUCUCGGUACAGUUUUCAUGAUGAAUGGACUGUCAUUGUUCACUUGGCAGUUGUUUCUGCAGAUCUUCAGACCUCCAGUAUCUGCGGGGCUGAGUUAGAAACUUGGGGACAGGAUCUCCGUGGAGGCUAAUGGCACCGCUGCUCAAACUUGUGUAUGUUGGUGCCCUGUGAGCAAGGACAGGGGAAUUAAUUAAUGGCACUGCUUGCCAGCUAAUUAGCCAUCCAUCACCCCAGUUAGUUAUCUCAUUCUUGUCUGUGUCUGAUAUUCAAAGCCUGCUCAGCCUGCAGCGCUCCUGCCAUCUGUAUUAAAGCUGUCUGCUGAGCAGUACAGGAUAUGCAGAGCUGCCAUUGUUUGAGACAACCGAAACGAGCACGCUGCGUGCCAUCAGCAGGAAAGGAGCUUGUCAGGAUGCUCUUGCACUGCCCGAGCCUGAGACUGAUAGAUGCCAGCCUGGGUGAAUUACCCCAUGAGACUCUUCCCCCUCUACCCCUCGAUGCCGCGCUGUUGGGUUGUUUUAACCCCACCUGAAAACGAGGAGGACCUUUUGGCUAAACUCAGCAUUUGAGAGCGAUCCGUCCUAUGGGGAAAAGCAGCUAAAAUCCUCACCUUUUAUCUCAGCUCGCUGUUAGGAGCUGAUAAGCCGGGUCCGUUGGAGAUGCAGCGGGGCUGGGUUGUGCAAUGGUUGGCCUGGAGCGCGGAGAUGACUUCACCUCCUGGCGUGCUGUGGUCCUGCUCCGCGGGAGCCCGCGCCGUGCCACAUCGGGGUGCAGCCCCGCAGGAGGUCCCGCAGGUCUGUGUCCCACAUGUGGGCCACCCUGGGUGUUUGGGAGCAGGAAGCCGGUGGGUGUUCCCCCAAGGUCUUCCCUGCGAUUCGUAAUCUGAAGCAGGGAGAUAAACAAAACGCACGCUGAUGGCUCCAGCCUCCUCUGGAAAUUUCCAUCAGCCACUGAUUCACUGGGUCGGGCUGCAGCUUAGUUCGUGUUUUAUAACUUCUCUCCCUAAUUGCCUUUUUCAUGAUGUGCUCGAGGAAGGCCUGAGGACUGCUCUGGCGGGUGUGAUUGUCCUCCAGCCUUAAACGUGUUUGGCUGUAGGAUCUCCUAAUUAUUAUUUUUUUUUUGGUAUGUUCUUAAAUCAAUGGAAAGCUUAGUCACUUAGGCUUUGAAAACCUUUGGGGUCUCAUUAAAUGUGCAAGGCUUGAAGUCAGAGACACUACCUCAUGGUUACUGGGUUGGUGACAGCGAUGGUGUCAAAGCACUGGUUAAAUACACUGCGAGGAGCAGGAGUCCGCUGCUUGGCCGCAUGCUUACGGACAUCUGGUUCGUGGUGCAGCACCCUUCUUCCCCUUUCUCUGUCAAAACUGCAGGAGCUGAGCAGCUUUCGCCCCAGUCCUUGAUGUGGGGGUUCCCCCCUGUGCUGUCUCCCCACAUCUGUUUUUGGGCAGAAAGCUGCGCUUUUGGCCAGUUGCUGCGUUUUGUGUCGGGCUGAGAAGCUCCCACUGGUGUAGAGAGAGAAAUCCCCAGAUACAUUUCAAUGUUACGUGCAAAUAUUCGUUCGAAAAGCCUUUUAGGAUGAAAGGGGCUGUACAAAUUUAUUAUAAUUGGAUGCAAACCAGAAGGUCAGCGCUGGUCUAGCACGGAUGUAUUUAUAGAACAACUUUGCAUCCAGAUGCAAGAAGAAAAAAUCUCUUGAACUCGUGUGUCUCCUGUAGCAGGGUAAAGGGAGUAGAUUCGCCUCCACCCCUGCAGAUAGCAGAGGUGCUGAUGUCUGCACGGUGAAGUCACGCUGCUCAGAGGUGUUUCUCUGCCUGCAAUUGUUGCUGGUACUUGAGCAGUGACUGCUAGGAAAUGCACCCCGAUGGGGAAGGGGUAGGAGAGCUGCAGCUUCAGGGGCUUCAGUGCACGCACCCAGCUGCCAGGAAAUAAAAGGACAUCGAGCAGUGAGCCAUUCUUGCAUGUUUUGCACCACUUUGUGUUUGCAGAGUGGAAGCGGGGGCUUCCACGACCCCGGGGCUGCAGCCCUUCUGCUGAACGUGACGGCGGCGUGGUGGCAGGGGUGGGCUUUUCUCCCGUGGAAACAGGAAAACUGAUGGCACCAGCGUUGUCCUGCCAGGAUGAGGCAUUUUUCCUGAGCCUCUAGCCUUGUGAUUUCUGUAUGUCUUUACCAUUCUCUUUACGUUGGCCACUAGCCCUGCUGCUCGGAGGAACCACCCCAGUGGAAUUGGCAGCCUGUGCUUUCUGCACGCAGCCUUUGCUUUCCUGGCUUGUGAAGGCUGGAGCUCUUCUCUAGCGUGAAAGUCGAGGGCUUUGGGGACCGGCGAGUACAAGUUGCUUCCCUCUGAGAGACGCCCCUCCAGGUAAGAUCAGCCAGAAGGAAGAAAACAUCCCCCUCGCCUCCCAGGUUGCCUGCAAAGCGUCACGGCAGCCCUCUGCUUGCAGGCAAAGAUGAGGAUGUUGCAGUGAGCACUUCGCCUUGUUUCCCAGCUGGGUGAGGGAGAGCCCAGCUGAAUGACACACGGACAUUUUCAGUGCCUUCUGCCCUUCAGCAGUUACCUCCUUCAUCCAUCUGCUUCUAGAAAACAACCGUAUUGAUUUCAAUUUUGCUAAGAAUGUCACUUCCAACCUAUGGGAUGAUUACCCAGCGCUGAAAUUGCUUGCUCAGUGCCUCAGUCGGGUCUGAUCCUUCUCGUCAGGCUGCCUGUGCCCAGCAGUGCGCUGCCUGCACGCUCCCUGCUCCCACUCUGCUGGGUCUAUAGCUGCAGCAGGGCCAAACUCUGCUCCCGCAGCUUGAACAGAGCAGGAAGCAGGAUUGCUGUGUUUUACAACCCUUUGAAACGUCUCAACAAUUGGAUUUGGGGACUGGGAAAGGCUUUGGCUCUUCCCACAGUUGUUUACCGCAGCACAGCGCAAACACGAAGAUGUCAUCCGUGCAGCGAGUUGCAUUUUACAGCUGCCUCGCUAUUCCCCAGCAUUUCUUCGGGAUGCUGUAAGGCAAGAACCCUUCACAAUGGCAGCAGUGUUGUGAAAGAGCCCUUUGCCCCCGCAGGGUCCAGCAAGAGCAUUUUUGCUUUACAACACUUGAGGCUGUGUCCGACCAGACGUCUUCGUGAACAAAUGUGCUCCCAUCUGGCCCGGGCAGUGACCAAACGGGACGCAGACCCCCAGCUGCUCUCAGCCACGCUGUCCCCCUCGUGGCACGCGUUGCUUCUGCCCCUGCACUUUGAAAUCCUCUUCCUGGGCAGGAUGCAAUAGCCGGGCUGCACAGAGACCUCUGCAGGGAGCUCUCACCAGCAGCCACGGACUUCCCCUGCCUGGCCUCCACCCAGAGCUUGUGCUGGGCUGGAAAAGCCUUCCUAGCCUUAAAUGUCCCAGCUGCUCCGGGGAGGAGGAUGCUCGAUUAGCUCACGGGGAGUCUCCUGAGAAGGGCUUCAACUCUCCCUGACCUGUUGCUUACUCGGAGAAAAGUCGCUUCGUUUCUGCACGUCGUUGGCUGCCUGUCUGGGUGAGGGUGAGCCCGGUGCAGCUCCCGGACAGCAGCAGAGGGAAAGGCAGCUCCGGGCUCCCUUAGCACCCAGAGCCAGGGCUGCUCAGCCCCGUGCCGGCUGCCAUCACCCUCCUCUUGGAGAUGCUGAAGCCCCCCAGGACCACCUCUGCCCGAUCCCGUUGUUUUCUGCCUCCAACCAGCGGUUUCGAAGGCUCCCAUCGCAGCGCCUGAUGCAAUCUGCAGUUUGCUCCUGUCUUCGGGAUGAUUCAUUGUCCAGAUCCUCCGGGGCCGUGCUGCCUGAUUUCUGUCCAGGUUCUUUCUUGCAGGGGCAGGAUUGUGUUUGGGAAGCUGAUUUGGUUUGAUUGGAUUUGAUUCCUGACUCUCGCGGUAUCGCUGCGAUCUAGAAGCAGGUUAGCUCGCAGGCCCUGUGAUCUCUCUGAAAAGGCUCCACGUCUCCUGCUGCUCCUGUCAGAGCCAGAGAGAUCUGAGGCCACAAGCCACCAGGCUUGUUGCUGAAAUAACCACGGGGCCAACAACCUGUCAUGUUCAAGGAGAAGAGAUCCUUAUCGGGCUUGCUUUUAAAAGGAGCUUCAAAGACUGCAAGGUCUGCAGGAGGAAAUGCCUGGAUUUCCAGUUCCCGAGCAGGACUGAGUGGUCAGAGCAGGGACUCGUGGCCAGGUCUGCAGAAAGUCGGGUUUGCCUUGGCUGAUGUGGAGCUCUCCCUCCCUUCUACGACAAUUCUGCACCUUAAGAGGCCUUUACUCUGCUCAGAUAAUGCUGGCUGUCUUUCUGGUGGUGAUGGCAGAGGCAAAACAAACCCAAAGUGCUGUGUUUGUCCCAAAACACUCCCUUGGCUCGCAGGGAGAUGGGUGAGUGGCUUAGAGCUGCAGAGGGCUCGAACCUCGGGGAGCUGCAGGGAGCUGGGCAGCUCUGCCCUGACCCCAGCCCCCGGUGUGGUGCCAGCAGGUUCCUUCCUACAUCCUGAAAAUCCCCGAGCUCCAACACGAGUGUCCGGGGCAGCGUCCCUCCUGCUUCACCCCGUUCUGCACCGGGGAUUAACAAUCCUCUUCUUCUUC